rnacentral:lncRNA from 1 species
GCAGGUGUCUGCAGUUCCACCCAGAAGCAGCCCAUGGUCUAAUCUCUUUCUUCUUUGUAUUUGUUACAGGUCUAAUGAAAGGCUAUGAUGUGGAGUAGGCUGUGGCUGGUGGCUAGGGUACUGUGGUUGCAGAUAUUGAGACUGCAGAUUGGAAACAUAUCCUUUUAUAUUUCCAAGUAAAAUUAAACUUCCUCAAAUAUACCUGUCAAUUAUCAAGGUUAGUAUUUUUGUAGUUUGUCAUUUUAUUCAGUGAUUACAGGAGAAUAGCUCUUUUGUUAGACAAGGGUAUCUCUGAAUAUAUAAAGAGCCUGCUUAUCUUCUCAUUCUACCUGGUCUGAAUUAGACUUAUAAAACUCCCUGUGUUUUUACUGUAUCAUUCAAGAUUCAUUGC